UUCAGAGAGCUCCUGAGAACAGCUGUGAAAUUCAGACCAGUUUACCAAUUACUUUCACAAAAGAGUUGUUUUAAAUCCAUUUUCCCUUGAAGGUCUCAGAUCAGGGAGACCUCAUCCACCUAUGUCAAAGACCUCUCUGUGAUGCAAACAAAAGCACAGUAAAUGAGCAUAAUCAGGAGAAUCAUUUCAAAACUAUAAUUCUGAUCUAACUCCAUCGUUAAUGGCAACACAUUCUGAUUGAGCCAUCAUCUGCCUGGCCUUAGCUAACCAGAGGUUGUGCUCUGUUACUGUGUGAAAAGAAGGAUGCACUAUCCCCACACCAAAAUGCAAAUGCUCUGGAAUAACACAGAGUCCUAAGUAUGCCAGCACAGGAAAAUGUAGAAACUGGAAGGCCUUUGGAGAAAAUGAAGAAAGCUGUAUUGCAAAGAAAAAUAUUCUGAACACAAAAA